rnacentral:rRNA from 1 species
UACGUAGGGGGCUAGCGUUGUCCGGAAUCAUUGGGCGUAAAGCGCGCGUAGGCGGCCCGGUAAGUCCGCUGUAAAAGUCAAAGGCUCAACCUUUGAAUGUCAGUGGAUACUGCCGGGCUAGAGUCCGGAAGAGGCGAGUGGAACUCCUGGUGUAGCGGUGGAAUGCGCAGAUAUCAGGAAGAACACCGACGGCGAAGGCAGCUCGCUGGGACGGUACUGACGCUGAGGCGCGAAAGCGUGGGUAGCAAACAGG